UGAGUACAAUCUAAAUCCCUU
rnacentral:siRNA from 1 species